GGAAACUGAGGCACGGUGAUUUGCCUAAAGUCACCCAGCAGAACUGGUGACAGAACCAAGAACAGAACCUAGGUGUUUUGAGUCUCUGCUCACUUUCUAGCCACCAGGCCCCACUCCCUGCCCCAGAACUGAACUAAGACAUUAAACAUUUCCCCACCCUCGACUGAAUAACAGAAAAAGGGGGAAACAGCACAUUCUCAUUUCCUGUCUGAACAACAAAAGACUCUCUGCCCACAAAUCACCCUCCUGGAGAAAGCGGAGAAGCAGAGAGGAAGGAUUGAAUGUUCCCUCGGAGCAAUUCUUCUGUGAUCCAAAGAAAACAUGAGUCGAACAGCUUCUGCCUCCAGAGAGCAGGAGAAUCUCUCCUCCUUCUCCCAAAAGCCGA